rnacentral:rRNA from 1 species
AAUGAUCGCUGGCGGCGUGCCUAAUACAUGCAAGUCGAACGAAGUGGCGAGCGGGUGAGUAAUAUAUAGUUAAUCUGCCCGACACAGAGGAACAACAGUUGGAAACGACUGCUAAUACCUCAUAUUGUAGGGUGAGAGUAUAUCGUAGCAGCUAGGUGGUAAGGUAAUGGCUUACCAAGGCUAUGACGCGGAACUGGUCUGAGAGGAUGAUCAGUCACAUCGGAACGGAGGCACGGGCCAAACUCCUACGGGAAGCAGCGGGAAUGAAUAUUGCGCAAUCGGGGAAAGCGUGACGGAGCAACGGCGCGUGGAGGACUACACUUAUUGAAGAGUAAACUCCUUUUAACAGGAACGCGGUACCUGAUGAAUAAGCACCGGCUAACUCCGUGCCAGCAGCCGCGGUAAUUC